rnacentral:rRNA from 1 species
AACGAACGCUGGCGGCAUGCCUAACACAUGCAAGUCGAACGAGACCUUCGGGUCUAGUGGCGCACGGGUGCGUAACGCGUGGGAACCUGCCCUUAGGUUCGGAAUAACUCCCCGAAAGGGGUGCUAAUACCGGAUAAUGUCUUCGGACCAAAGAUUUAUCGCCUUUGGAUGGGCCCGCGUUGGAUUAGCUAGUUGGUAGGGUAAAAGCCUACCAAGGCGACGAUCCAUAGCUGGUCUGAGAGGAUGAUCAGCCACACUGGGACUGAGACACGGCCCAGACUCCUACGGGGGGCAGCAGUAGGGAAUAUUAGACAAUGGGCGAAAGCCUGAUACAGCAAUGCCGCGUGAGUGAUGAAGGCCUUAGGGUUGUAAAGCUCUUUUACCCGGGAUGAUAAUGACAGUACCGGGAGAAUAAGCACCGGCUAACUCCGUG